rnacentral:lncRNA from 1 species
GCCGAUCAUUCUUUGUUAUGGGGGCUGUCCUGUGCAUCUCUGGUCUCUACCCACUCCAUGCCAGCCCUGCCCCCUCCUCAGUUAUGACAACCAACAAUGUUUGCAGAUAUUGCCAAAUGUCCCAGGAAGACAAAGUGGCCUCCAGUUGAGAAGCACGGGUCUGGAGAGAAAUGCUGCAGGAAGCCGAGAGGACUUUGCACCUCUGGCUCCAGGGAGCUCACAGGCAGGGGCUGGCCCAGCCCAGAGGCAAUGAAGACAGUGACGAUGAUGAUGGUGGUGGAGAUGCAGGUGCUGACUCAGGUUCUGAAAGCUGUGUUGUCUGCGUGCACGCGGGUGAGCCGGAAAGGAGACCUCCAGAGAAUGAAACAGACA